GCCACAUAGCAAGCGACAAGCGCUUGAUUUUGCUCCGCCCGAGAGGCGAGAGCAGAUGGCGAGGCUGCUGCCGCGUGUUGCUAUGCUCCUCGUCGCGGCGGCGGCGGCGGCCGUUGAGGCCGUGGGUUCGGCAGCGCCGGCGGGGAGCGGCGAGCUCGGAGGGGGCCUCAGCAGAGACGACUUCCCUGGGGGCUUCGUGUUCGGCGCCGGCACAUCAGCGUAUCGAUGGGAGGGCGCGGCGGCGGAGGACGGCAGGGCGCCCAGUAUCUGGGACACCUUCGCGCACACCGCCGGCCAUCACACUGGAGAUGGUGAUGUAGCAGCUAAUGGUUACCACAAGUACAAGGAAGAUGCAAAACUAAUGAAGGAGACUGGAUUGGAUGCUUUUAGGUUUUCUAUCUCUUGGCCAAGGCUUAUUCCCAAUGGCAGAGGAGAAGUCAACCCAAAAGGAUUAGAAUACUAUAAUAAUCUUAUCAAUGAACUUCUGGAUCAUGGAAUCGAACCACACGCUACCCUUUUUCAAUAUGAUCUUCCUCAAGUCCUUGAAGAUGAAUACAAUGGAUGGUUGAAUCCUCAAAUAAUUGAUGAUUUUACAGCAUAUUCAGAUGUCUGCUUUAGGGAAUUUGGCGAUAGGGUUACGAAUUGGACUACCCUAAAUGAACCUAAUGCUGCUGCAUUGCUUGGCUAUGACGUUGGAUCUGCACCACCUGGGAGGUGUUCUGAGCCAUUUGGCAAUUGUCCCAAUGGAAAUUCUGUAACUGAACCUUACAUUGUAGGUCAUCAUAGUUUGUUGGCUCAUAGCUCAGCCGUAUCAUUAUACAGGAAAAAGUAUCAGGAAAAGCAACAUGGAGUUAUUGGCAUAAAUAUAUUUAUAUAUGACUUCGUACCUUUAACCAACUCAAAAGAGGAUACAGCUGCAACUGAAAGAGCAAUGGCCUUCUACACUGGCUGGUUCUUGGAUCCGCUUUACCAUGGAGACUAUCCAGAUAUAAUGAAAAAGAAUGCUGGUUCCAAGCUGCCAAAAUUCUCUAACAAUCAAUCUGAACAGUUAAUCAAUUCUGUUGACUUUCUUGGUGUAAAUUACUACUCAAUAAUGUACGUGAAGGAUGAUCCACAAGCUGCUUCUAGCAAUGAACGAGAUUUCCUGGCUGAUAUAUCUGUUAAAACAACAUAUACGAAUAAUUCUAACAUUCAGUAGUAUGUGCCACCUUAUGGUCUCCAGGGAGUGCUUGAAUAUUUCAAGCAAUAUUAUGGCAAUCCUCCCAUCUACAUCCACGAGAAUGGUUACUUGUAACCAUUCCUGAAUCCUGAGAAUAAAUAGGCUUGUCGAUCUGGUUAUCCAAUGAACCAGGGUGUGAUAUUUGACGAUGGCCCUAGGGUGGAAUUCUUGAGUGAGCACCUUACAAGCCUAGCGGAUUCUGUCAGGAAUGGUUCAAACACCAAGGGCUACUUCGUCUGGUCCCUCAUGGAUCUAUACGAGCUUCUCGGUGACUCUACAUAUGGCCUCUACUACGUGGACUUCGCAGACAAGGAACUGAGGAGAUAUCCAAGGCGCUCUGCAAUUUGGUACGCAGAUUUCCUGAAGGGCAGGAGAGCCGCGAUGCCUGGGAGAUCUUCAGAUUCCUCGCUGGCAGUGGCCAGGAGAUCUUCAGAUUCCUCGGUGGCAGUGACCAGGGGUUUAGGCAGCACUGGUAGCAAAACCGGUUCUUUCUGGAGCAUCCUGGAUGCUCUUGUGAUUUCAAAUUCUGUUUAGGCAGCACUUUGUAUUGUCUGCUUUUAGAGUUGGACUUUUGUGAUAGUUGGGGUUUGAAUCAUUGUCAGUUUUUCACGAGGUAGCGUUGGUGAAAAUGUGAAAACUGUGCUGCUAUUCUGUUCAAUAGGCUGGCCUUUCUUCGUGAUUGAAGAAAGUGAUUCUCUAGUAUAACUUACAUGGGGAAAGUGAUUCUAUAGAAUAAAUUCUAUGGGUGAA